GACGAACGCUGGCGGCGUGCCUAAUACAUGCAAGUUGAGCGCUGAAGGUUGGUACUUGUACCAACUGGAUGAGCAGCGAACGGGUGAGUAACGCGUGGGGAAUCUGCCUUUGAGCGGGGGACAACAUUUGGAAACGAAUGCUAAUACCGCAUAAAAACUUUAAACACAAGUUGUAAGUUUGAAAGAUGCAAUUGCAUCACUCAAAGAUGAUCCCGCGUUGUAUUAGCUAGUUGGUGAGGUAAAGGCUCACCAAGGCGAUGAUACAUAGCCGACCUGAGAGGGUGAUCGGCCACAUUGGGACUGAGACACGGCCCAAACUCCUACGGGAGGCAGCAGUAGGGAAUCUUCGGCAAUGGACGAAAGUCUGACCGAGCAACGCCGCGUGAGUGAAGAAGGUUUUCGGAUCGUAAAACUCUGUUGGUAGAGAAGAACGUUGGUGAGAGUGGAAAGCUCAUCAAGUGACGGUAACUACCCAGAAAGGGACGGCUAACUACGUG
rnacentral:rRNA from 1 species